rnacentral:lncRNA from 1 species
CCAAAGCUGAAUCAUAACAAAUAUGAACAUCAACUGCAAGCAAAUCGCAGUCAGGCAUUUAACACCUGUAGCUUCAGGUUCCAUACUCAUUCUCACACAUAAUCAUACAUCCAAACUUAACAUAUCCACAUGCUGGUCCGAACACAACUACUUAUGUGACAGAUGUUUCUGGCAGAGGCGGAUCCAAUUGGGGUUCCAUGGGUGCCAUGGCACCCCCUGCGAAAAUGCAAAGUAUACUUAUUAUAUACUAGUAGUUAGGCUCAUUUGGGUGUACUAUUAGUGUUUAAAUACGUGAGUAUUGAGCAUGGCACUCCUAUCGUGUAGUUCUAGAUCCGCCACUGGUUUCUGGAUGCGAGCCUAAACACACAUUAGUUACUCAAAAUACAUGCCCAUGGCUAACACUGGAAAUCCUGGGAAAUCAACACCACACCACAACAAGUGGAUGGCAGCUAACAUUUCCGUCCAGUGCGAUGGAAACCCCAGGAAACCACUGCCACACCACAUCAAAGGGGAUGGUAGCUAAACUUUCUCUUCAGUUUGUUCCGCAUAACGAAAUGCUUUCACAGCAAAUGCACACCUACUGCAUAUAUAAUGCAUAUCUGACACCCCAUCUCACUUCAGAAUGGCAGCACCUCGAUCAUGAAAUCUAGCAGCUCACCUCGGUUCCCCCUCGUAGAAAUCACCUCGUAUGCUUCGCCCAGAGAGUCAAAAGUAGUACCAAAAGCUGGUGUGAUCACGUUUUCAGCUGGGUUCUCUCCACAACACCUGGCUGCCUUCUCGAAUGCACUGAUUUGAUUUGGGCACGGUGUUCUGCUUCCUGCGGCAGCACCAAUCCUAAGCCUGCAAGCACAAACAUACAUUGCAUAAAUUUUCUGAAUGCACAGAGCAAUCAGCCCGCAAACACAGGCACAAGUAGCAUAAAUUUUCAGAAUGCAGAGAGCAAUCAGCCUGCAAACACAGGCACAUAUAGCAUGAAUUUUCUGAAUACAGAGAGCAAUCAGCCUGCAAAAACAGGCACAUAUAGCAUGAAUUUUCUGAAUGCAGAGAUCAAUCAGCCUGCAAGCACAGUAUAGCAUGCUUGUUCUGAAUGCAGAGACCAAUCAGCACUUGCUCUAACUGUAGGAUUUCUUCACUCAUGACGCUUCCUAAAUUGCCCUUCACUAACCUCUUGUUACACCCCGACGCUUAGGGAUUCAGCUUCCCCAUUGAUAGCAUGCUUGUUCUGAAUGCAGAGACCAAGCAGCACUUGCUCUAACUGUAGGAUUUCUUCACUCAUGACGCUUCCUAAAUUUCCCUUCACUAACCUCUUGUUACACCCCGACGCUUAGGGAUUCAGCUUCCCCGUUGAUAGCUCCGAAGUCGGAGGGGAGCUCUCCCUUCUUCAGCCGCCGCCUCCUUCGCCGAGAAGAUUUGUG